GCGCACCACUUCCUCCUCGCACGUUCGCACGCACAGGAGCGCUCCAUCCCCAACCUCCCUCCUCUCCCGCUCGGCGCCGCCCCCUCGCCCGCCCCUCGCCUCGACCCGCCGCAGCUUCAGCGAAACCACCACCAUCGCCUCGGCCCUCGGCCCACCGCAGCUUCAUCGACGCCGCCCCUCACAUCUCCGUGUCGCCCCCAGCCAUCGCCUCGCCAGGCCUCGGCCGUCGGGGACGCCGCCUAGACCGCCUGGCCGGACUUCGGGGACGCCGCCCGUGAUUGCUGGCUACCCCAUCAUCGUCUCUCCCCGUCCUCAACAUGUGUGCAGACGCGGCACCACGGGUCUGCCGUCUCCAGGCCUUCCUGACGCGGCGGCCCUUGGGGCGAGGGACGAAGGAGCCUCGCCAUGGCUUCGUCCUCUUGUUCGUCCUCUCAUCCUGCACCAUCAUGUGUUCGCCAGCGACGAAGGAGCAGCCGCGGUUGAUCCUGCACCAUCCUGUGGCCGUCACGCAUGUAGCCGCCGUCCACCACACCGGCACGCCAUCUAAUGUGCAGGGAUCACCGUGCAUUGAGGACACCGAGUCAAUGGAGUUGUGUGCGGCCACGACAACGACACGCAUAAGGUUUUCUAGGCAAGUUUAAGAGGGGUUCCUUGAAGUUAUAGGCACAUCUUUUAAGAAAUCUUGUCAGAGGAAGAGACGACAGUCUUUAGAGAAUUUGAAUCAUAGGAUAUUGAUAAAUAAAGGGAUAAUUAAUCUUGAGGUACUAAGGGCUGGAUUAUAGAAGUUUGGUACCAAAUUUACCCAAUUAGAAAUAACAGUUGAUGGAGCUGGUUGCUGGUAUGUUAAUCUGAUAGCCCAGACGUUAAACAAUAUCUUCUUUUGUCCUGUAUAUGCACACUUACAUUCUUCUUCUUGCAAUUGUAUUUAUUAACUAUCUUAUUGCCUUCACAUAUACACUCAUGGAUGAUUUUUAUUUAAGAGCAUAACUUCAUGAAAGGAAGAGGUUAUAAAGUUUACUCACAUAUUCUGGUUUCGAAAACAAAAUAAGAAAGGCCAAUCUGCAGGACCUUGCUGUCCAUAGCGGGGGUGAUAUAGUCAAAGGCUCUUUUCGCUUGCUCAUUUCACAAUGGCUAUGAAGUAAUGUGGUGCACACUAUACUCUGUUAAAUGCGAAUUUACUCGUAAUCUACAUUUACAUGCUGCUUCAGCAAUUAUCAGUGUGAUAGUGUGCGCUUAGCGACGCCAGAGAAGUGAGAGAGGUCGCCGUUUGGUGUGGGUCAGAAUACUCACGCAUCUCUCUACGCUUAUUUCACUUGUUGUGUUGUCUCCAAUUGUUGCAAUACUGUCAUCUCAUUCAAUUUUGUUUUUCAGAGUUGAGAAAUGAUGGAUAAAUAACAGAAUUAUGUUCAUAUUUUCAUUAGUUUGUGCAAUUCAUUUGGAGAAAAAGUUGUUACGCUUAAUUCAUUAGUUUGUUAUAGUGAUAUUUUGAGCAGAAUGGAAAAGAUUUGGUGCGGAUCUCAAUGUGCUGAUGAAAUUACGGUCCAAUAGAGGAACCAAUGUGCUUCUGGUCUGUUCCAUAAUUGUGAAGAUCUUUUUUGGGUGGUUAUUCAUGGGCUGGACUUCACCUUCAGGUCAAUGGUCUUCUUUCUAGCAUGAAGCAGAGGAUUAUAACUACCGGGAAGCAUAGGAUGUUGUUCAUGAAUUCGACAGUAAUUUUGGUGAGGAUGUGAAAUCCCUCCUUCUGCUCAUUCCAAUCUUUCAAAUUGAUUUAUUCAUUGUUGUACCUUUCCUUGAUCUUCUCUUCAUUCCGAUUAAAUUUCUCACCGCUUCUCCUAAUGGUCCAGCCAAUUAAUAAGAGAAAAGAGGGAGAAGAAAAAUGUA